GAUGAACGCUGGCGGCGUGCCUAAUACAUGCCAGUCGAACGAACAGAUCAGGCGCUUGCUCCCUGGUCGUAGGCGGCGGAUGUGUGAGUAACACGGGGAUGACCCACGUAUAAAACUUGGAUAACUUCGGGAAACAGGAGCUGAAAACGGAUGAUAUGUCCAACCAAGUGGUUCAAUAGGGAAAGGCGGCUUUGGUGUUGAGUAAAGAGGGAUACGCGCCGUAUUGGCUAGUUGGGAAGGUAACGGCUUACAAAGGCUACGAUAGGUAGCAGAUCUGAGAGGGUGAUUGGCCACACUGGAUCUGAGGCACGGCCGAGACUCCUACGCGAGGCAGCAGCAGGGACUCUUACGCGAUGGGCGAAAGCGUGAUGGAGCAACACCGCGUGAGCGAUGAAGGUGCUCGGAUGGGUGAGUUCUGUUAUCAGGGAAUAACAAAUGCGCAAGUAGCAGUGCAGAUGUUGACGGUACCUGACUAAAAAGCCCCGGCUAACUACGUG
rnacentral:rRNA from 1 species